GUCGCAGGUCACGGGCGAGACGUCCCCGCCUCUCUCCUGAAGCGGGUGUCGCAGGUUCGAAUCCUGCCGGGG
rnacentral:tRNA from 1 species